rnacentral:lncRNA from 1 species
CACUAAGUCCUGGCUUCACAUCAAACUCUCACCACUUCUUCAGCAAAAGCAAACUUCAGGAUACUAAUAAGAAUGGGCAUGACUAACCAAGGCAAGAAUAAAAGUUUACAAGACUUAACCUCUGCAACCUGGCCACCCAAAGAAGGCAUUGGCGCCCUACAAAGUUCUGUGGAAACCAGCUAUCAUCCAAUGCUUUAG